GUGUUCUUCAGUGGCACAUAUACUAAAAUUGAAAGGAUACAGAGAAGAUUAACAUGACCCCUGCAGAAGGAUGACAUACAAAUUUGUGAAGCCUUACAUACUUUU